AUACGGAGGGAGCGAACGUUGUCCGGAUUUACUGGGCGUAAAGGGCGCGUAGGCGGUGAGGCAAGUCAGGUGUGAAAUUCUACCGCUCAACGGUAUGAAUUGCACUUGAAACUGCCCCGCUAGAGCACAGGAGAGGAGAGUGGAAUUCCCAGUGGAGCGGUGGAAUGCGUAGAUAUUGGGAAGAACACCAGUGGCGAAGGCGACUCUCUGGACUGAUGCUGACGCUGAUGCGCGAAAGCUAGGGGAGCGAACAGGAUUAGAUACCCCAGUAGUCC
rnacentral:rRNA from 1 species